ACCCGCUGAACUUAAGCAUAUCAAUAAGCGGAGGAAAAGAAACCAACAGGGAUUGCCCUAGUAACGGCGAGUGAAGCGGCAACAGCUCAAAUUUGAAAUCUGGCGUCUUUGGCGUCCGAGUUGUAAUUUGCAGAGGGCGCUUUGGCAUUGGCAGCGGUCCAAGUUCCUUGGAACAGGACGUCACAGAGGGUGAGAAUCCCGUACGUGGUCGCUAGCCUUUACCGUGUAAAGCCCCUUCGACGAGUCGAGUUGUUUGGGAAUGCAGCUCUAAAUGGGAGGUAAAUUUCUUCUAAAGCUAAAUACUGGCCAGAGACCGAUAGCGCACAAGUAGAGUGAUCGAAAGAUGAAAAGCACUUUGGAAAGAGAGUUAAAAAGCACGUGAAAUUGUUGAAAGGGAAGCGCUUGCAGCCAGACUUGCCUGUAAUUGCUCAUCCGGGUUUUUACCCGGUGCACUCUUCUAUAGGCAGGCCAGCAUCAGUUUGGGCGGUUGGAUAAAGGUCUCUGUCAUGUACCUCUCUUCGGGGAGAACUUAUAGGGGAGACGACAUGCAACCAGCCCGGACUGAGGUCCGCGCAUCUGCUAGGAUGCUGGCGUAAUGGCUGU
rnacentral:rRNA from 1 species